rnacentral:rRNA from 1 species
GAUGAACGCUAGCGGGAGGCUUAACACAUGCAAGUCGAGGGGCAGCACGAGGUAGCAAUACUUUGGUGGCGACCGGCGCACGGGUGAGUAACGCGUAUGCAACCUACCCUGUACAGGGGGAUAACCCGGAGAAAUUCGGACUAAUACCCCAUAAAGAUAUUUAGAGGCAUCUUUGAAUAUUUAAAGUUCCGGCGGUACGGGAUGGGCAUGCGUAACAUUAGCUAGUUGGUAAGGUAACGGCUUACCAAGGCAACGAUGUUUAGGGGUCCUGAGAGGGUGAUCCCCCACACUGGUACUGAGACACGGACCAGACUCCUACGGGAGGCAGCAGUGAGGAAUAUUGGUCAGUGGGCGCAAGCCUGAACCAGCCAUCCCGCGUGAAGGAAGAAUGUGCUAUGCGUUGUAAACUUCUUUUCCAGGGGAAUAAAAUUUUGUACGUGUACGGAAUUGAAGGUACCCUGGGAAUAAGCAUCGGCUAACUCCGUGCCAGCCGCCGCAGUAACAC